rnacentral:rRNA from 1 species
UACGGAGGGUGCAAGCGUUAAUCGGAAUUACUGGGCGUAAAGCGUGCGCAGGCGGUUUGUUAAGUCUGUUGUGAAAUCCCCGAGCUCAACUUGGGAAUUGCAAUGGAUACUGGCAGGCUAGAGUAUGGUAGAGGAAGGUGGAAUUCCCGGUGUAGCAGUGAAAUGCGUAGAGAUCGGGAGGAACACCAGUGGCGAAGGCGGCCUUCUGGACCAAUACUGACGCUCAUGCACGAAAGCGUGGGGAGCAAACAGG